CCAUACCAUGCUGAAUAUACCGGUUCUCGUUAGAUCACCGAAGUCAAGCAUCAUUUGGUGCGGUCAGUACUUGGGUGAGGUGACCAUCUGGGAGCAGCGUGCCA